UACGGAGGGUGCAAGCGUUAAUCGGAAUUACUGGGCGUAAAGCGCACGCAGGCGGUCUGUCAAGUCGGAUGUGAAAUCCCCGGGCUCAACCUGGGAACUGCAUUCGAAACUGGCAGGCUAGAGUCUUGUAGAGGGGGGUAGAAUUCCAGGUGUAGCGGUGAAAUGCGUAGAGAUCUGGAGGAAUACCGGUGGCGAAGGCGGCCCCCUGGACAAAGACUGACGCUCAGGUGCGAAAGCGUGGGGAGCAAACAGGAUUAGAUACCCUGGUAGUCCACGCCGUAAACGAUGUCGAUUUGGAGGUUGUGCCCUUGAGGCGUGGCUUCCGGAGCUAACGCGUUAAAUCGACCGCCUGGGGAGUACGGCCGCAAGGUUAAA
rnacentral:rRNA from 1 species